rnacentral:rRNA from 1 species
UACGAAGGUGGCAAGCGUUGUUCGGAUUUACUGGGCGUACAGGGAGCGUAGGCGGUUGGAUAAGCCCUCCGUGAAAUCUCCAGGCUUAACCUGGAAAGUGCAGAGGGGACUGUUCAGCUAGAGGAUGGGAGAGGAGCGCGGAAUUCCCGGUGUAGCGGUGAAAUGCGUAGAUAUCUGGAGGAACACCGGUGGCGAAGGCGGCCUGCUGGGCAGUUGCUGACACUGAGGCGCGACAGCGUGGGGAGCAAACAGG